rnacentral:rRNA from 1 species
CCUACGGGCGGCAGCAGUGGGGGAUAUUGCACAAUGGGGGGAACCCUGAUGCAGCGACGCCGCGUGGGUGAAGAAGGGCCUCGGCGCGUAAAGCCCUGUCAGCAGGGAAGAAAAUGACGGUACCUGAAGAAGAAGCCACGGCUAACUACGUGCCAGCAGCCGCGGUAAUACGUAGGGGGCAAGCGUUAUCCGGAUUUAUUGGGUGUAAAGGGGGCGCAGACGGCUGUGCAAGCCAGAUGUGAAAGCCCGGGGCCCAACCGAGGGAGUGCAUGUGCAACUGGGUGGCUGGAGUGCAGAAGGGGCAGGCGGAAUUCCUGGUGUAGCGGUGAAAUGCGUAGAUAUCAGGAGGAACACCGGUGGCGAAGGCGGCCUGCUGGACUGCAACUGACGCUGAGGCCCGAAAGCGUGGGGAGCAAACAGGAUUAGAUACCCGUGUAGUC